GACGUAGGGCGCGAGCGUUGUCCGGAUUUAUUGGGCGUAAAGAGCUCGUAGGCGGCUUGUCGCGUCGUCCGUGAAAACUUGGGGCUUAACCCUGAGCUUGCGGUCGAUACGGGCAUGACUGGAGUUCGGCAGGGGAGACUGGAAUUCCUGGUGUAGCGGUGAAAUGCGCAGAUAUCAGGAGGAACACCGGUGGCGAAGGCGGGUCUCUGGGCCGAUACUGACGCUGAGGAGCGAAAGCGUGGGGAGCGAACAGG
rnacentral:rRNA from 1 species